rnacentral:rRNA from 1 species
UACGUAGGGGGCAAGCGUUGUCCGGAAUUAUUGGGCGUAAAGCGCGCGCAGGCGGCUUCUUAAGUCUGAUGUGAAAUCUCGGGGCUCAACCCCGAGCGGCCAUUGGAAACUGGGAAGCUUGAGUACAGAAGAGGAGAGUGGAAUUCCACGUGUAGCGGUGAAAUGCGUAGAUAUGUGGAGGAACACCAGUGGCGAAGGCGACUCUCUGGUCUGUAACUGACGCUGAGGCGCGAAAGCAUGGGGAGCAAACAGG